GACGAACGCUGGCGGCGUGCCUAAUACAUGCAAGUAGAACGCACAGUUUAUACCGUAGCUUGCUACACCAUAGACUGUGAGUUGCGAACGGGUGAGUAACGCGUAGGUAACCUGCCUGGUAGCGGGGGAUAACUAUUGGAAACGAUAGCUAAUACCGCAUAAUAUUGAUUAUUGCAUGAUAAUUGAUUGAAAGAUGCUAUUGCAUCACUACCAGAUGGACCUGCGUUGUAUUAGCUAGUAGGUGAGGUAACGGCUCACCUAGGCGACGUUACAUAGCCGACCUGAGAGGGUGAUCGGCCACACUGGGACUGAGACACGGCCCAGACUCCUACGGGAGGCAGCAGUAGGGAAUCUUCGGCAAUGGACGAAAGUCUGACCGAGCAACGCCGCGUGAGUGAAGAAGGUUUUCGGAUCGUAAAGCUCUGUUGUAAGAGAAGAACGGGUGUGAGAGUGGAAAGUUCACACUGUGACGGUAUCUUACCAGAAAGGGACGGCUAACUACGUG
rnacentral:rRNA from 1 species